rnacentral:rRNA from 1 species
AGAUUGAACGCUGGCGGCAUGCCUAACACAUGCAAGUCGAACGGGAGUAGCAAUACUCUAGUGGCGGACGGGUGAGGAAUACGUAGGAAUUUGCCCUUAAGUGGGGGAUAACCCGGGGAAACCCGGAUUAAUACCGCAUGACCUCGAAAGAGCAAAGUGGGGGAUCGCAAGACCUCACGCUUUUGGAGAAGCCUACGUCGGAUUAGCUAGUUGGUGAGGUAAUGGCUCACCAAGGCGACGAUCCGUAACUGGUCUGAGAGGAUGAUCAGUCACACCGGAACUGAGACACGGUCCGGACUCCUACGGGAGGCAGCAGUGGGGAAUAUUGGACAAUGGGCGCAAGCCUGAUCCAGCAAAUGCCGCGUGUGUGAAGAAGGCCUUC